GAGCUCCCUUCAGCAGCACACACACUGGAGUUGCAACCAGAGGAGGAGAGAUCAGCUUGGCCCCUGCACAAGGACGACAUGCAGAUUCCUGAAGCCUUCCAUAUUUUU